GUCAGCCCCACGCAUUGUGACAUAAGACGGUGGCGGUGGCGGCAGGGGAUGGGGGGAGGCCUCCUUGCACCCCCCCCCUCCUUGGGUGCACUUUUAUAAAUUGUGGAUUCUUACUGGAGGAAACCCGAGAACCCAGUCAUAACAACUCAACAGCCAGAAUAAUUUCAGGAUGGGAAAAAAAAAAAUGCUAUGUGAGCAAAACCUAAUGUCGUCGUGGAGACGGGGUCUCAUGUAGACCAGGCCAGCUUCAAACUCACUGUCUUGUUGGGAAUGACCUUUAACUCCCGACCCUUCUGCUUCUGCCUCUUAAGUGUUGGGAACCCAGUCCUUACGCCACAACGCUCUGCUCAAAAAGAAAAAAGGCCAAAUCUUUGUAAAUCGAGUCCCGUGGGCCAGGCAUUGCUAACAGAUGUUAAAUCACGCUUCCCUAGCGGCCACAGCUUCAGCUCAGAAAAGAUGUCUCCCAGCACUCAGGAGGCAAGACAAAAGUGGAUCUCCGAGAGUCUGAAGCCAGUCUGGUCUAUAUAGUAAAUCCCAGGCCAGCCAAGCCAGCUAGCCAGCCCUACAAAGUGAGACCCUCAGAAAAAAAAAAAAUGAAAAUGUGUGUGCCUAUCUUGGCAUAGCAGCCCACACCUCUAAUUCCAGUCCUUGGAAGGCUGAGGAGAUCCGCCUGCCUCUGCUUCCCAAGUGCUGGGAUUAAGGGCAUGCGCUACCACACUCGGUCCUAACUCUCUUUUUAAAAAUUAAAGAUGGGGCUGGGCAGUGGUGGUACACACCUUUAAUCCCAGCACUUGGGAGGCAGAGCCAGGCGGAUCUCUGUGAGUUUGAGGCCAGCCUGGGCUACCAAGUGAGUUCCAGGAAAGGCACA